AGUCGAGCGGAUGAAGAGAGCUUGCUCUCUGAUUCAGCGGCGGACGGGUGAGUAAUGCCUAGGAAUCUGCCUGGUAGUGGGGGACAACGUCUCGAAAGGGACGCUAAUACCGCAUACGUCCUACGGGAGAAAGCAGGGGACCUUCGGGCCUUGCGCUAUCAGAUGAGCCUAGGUCGGAUUAGCUAGUUGGUGAGGUAAUGGCUCACCAAGGCGACGAUCCGUAACUGGUCUGAGAGGAUGAUCAGUCACACUGGAACUGAGACACGGUCCAGACUCCUACGGGAGGCAGCAGUGGGGAAUAUUGGACAAUGGGCGAAAGCCUGAUCCAGCCAUGCCGCGUGUGUGAAGAAGGUCUUCGGAUUGUAAAGCACUUUAAGUUGGGAGGAAGGGCAGUAAGCGAAUACCUUGCUGUUUUGACGUUACCGACAGAAUAAGCACCGGCUAACUCUGUGCCAGCAGCCGCGGUAAUACAGAGGGUGCAAGCGUUAAUCGGAAUUACUGGGCGUAAAGCGCGCGUAGGUGGUUUGUUAAGUUGAAUGUGAAAUCCCCGGGCUCAACCUGGGAACUGCAUCCAAAACUGGCAAGCUAGAGUAGGGCAGAGGGUGGUGGAAUUUCCUGUGUAGCGGUGAAAUGCGUAGAUAUAGGAAGGAACACCAGUGGCGAAGGCGACCACCUGGGCUCAUACUGACACUGAGGUGCGAAAGCGCGGGGAGCAAACAGGAUUAGAUACCCUGGUAGUCCACGCCGUAAACGAUGUCAACUAGCCGUUGGAAGCCUUGAGCUUUUAGUGGCGCAGCUAACGCAUUAAGUUGACCGCCUGGGGAGUACGGCCGCAAGGUUAAAACUCAAAUGAAUUGAC
rnacentral:rRNA from 1 species